rnacentral:rRNA from 1 species
AUUGAACGCUGGCGGCAGGCCUAACACAUGCAAGUCGAGCGAGCGGCGGACGGGUGUGUAAUGUCUGGGAAACUGCCUGAUGGUGGGGGAUAACUACUGGAAACGGUAGCUAAUACCGCAUACCAUCAGAUGUGCCCAGAUGGGAUUAGCUAGUAGGUGGGGUAACGGCGCACCUAGGCGACGAUCCCUAGCUGGUCUGAGAGGAUGACCAGCCACACGGGAACGGAGACACGGUGCAGACUCGUACGGGAGGGAGCGGUGGGGAAUAUGGCACAAGGGGAGCAAGCCUGAUGCAGCCAUGCCGGGUGUGUGAAGAAGGCCUUCGGGUUGUAAAGCACUUUCAGCGGGGAGGCGUUACCCGCAGAAGAAGCACCGGCUAACUCCGUGCCAGCAGCCGCGGUAAUUC